UUAACUCAUGCAAUGCACGUUCGUGUUCAGGACGGUCCAUCGUGACUACUCCUCAUAUACAGUAGUUGUUUUUCAACGAUUGUUUAUUUUUUUUGGUCUACGCAUUGUGGUUGUCUAUUGUCUAAUAUACACUAUGAUUAGUCUAAACUCUCCAUUAAGAUCGUUGAGAAAAAAACUCUCUUAAGAGCCCAUUAUAGGCCUAAUACUGGACAGAUAAUGACCAAACGCAGUCUAAGAUUGAUAGGCCCAACUCCGAUUUGUAAGAAAAAUAUAAACGGAUUCUAGGUUUGGUUAAAUAUUACGGACUCCGUUGGUUCAUAAGCGGUCUUGUUUUUUAGAAUUUAAUAGAUAAAACCAUUUUGAACAAAUUAAAGGUAAGAUAAUAGUGCGUUUCCUCACUCUCUCCUUUUUGUUCUUCUUCAAACUACAUAUUAUAUAAUGUGUUGCUGACAUAUGUCUUUCUAUAUCUUUUUGAUCACUCAUCUUUCUAUAUAUUUUAUAUCUUUUGAUCACUGCGUUAAGGAAACAAACAAGACUAUAAUAUAUGUAUCACUAAACACAUGGAGAAUUGAAGAGAGACCCACUUCAAUUAUAGUUGAUUUAUUUCGGGUUUUAUAUAGUGUAAUCAUUGAAUUGGAAAGUCAAAGAACAUAUACGUAUGUCUAAUCACUCAUGAUGCCGACUAAUAUGAAAUUUCAAUCAAACCAUAGCAAAAACAUGGAACAACUUUAAAAAAAUGGCAGAAGAAAAUAGACCUGUUUAAUUAAUGUACAUAUGCAUUGACAAAAUGUGACUAUUAGUUAAGUAAAUAAUGUGAUAUCAAAAAUGAUUAAAUGGCAUAAUUUUUUUUUUGCGCAGGCCACUCGGUUUAUCUUUAUCGUUAUAAUUUUAUUAUUGUCAGUAAUCUUUCUAACAGCAAAAAUGAUCGAUCGAUCAUAGGUUAUAGAAGAAGGUGAAACAUAAGAUGAGAUGUAAAUGCAAAAGCAGAGAGAGAUGGCUUUGGAAGUAAGGAACACUCUCACUUCACUCAUCGCCUCGUAAAGGAACUUUUCCUUCCCACAGAUACGCACGUGCGUCGGUGCUUCACCCAAUGCUCAUCUUCUCUUCCCCUCUCUUAAUUGCUUUCUCUUCUCUCUCACUUGCAAAUCAAACCUCACACAAAUUAUAUUCUUCUAUAAAAUGUAUGUGAUCUACUUAUAUUAGCUAUGAUCAAGUGAGUUUUGGCAAAAAAAUAUCAAGUGAGUUAGUCAUAGACUCAUGGUUAUCAUCAUUUUCUUGUUCCAAAUUUUUAUAAUCUAUGUCUACUGGACGUCUUACGUUUAACCGAGAAAGCUACAGCUCAGAUUUACUUUAUUUGGAUAUUACUAAUAAGGCAUAUAUUACACGGAAUUUCGUGAAAAUGUACAAACACAAGUAUCUGCCACAUGCAAUCACCUUGUUCCCAAGCCUUGUUCUUGUCAUUAUGCCUCUUGCCUCUCACCAUCUUCUUGCCAACCUCGGAACAAUCAUCUUUUCUCCUUUUUUUUUCUUAUAUACUUUAGCGUCUAAUUACUUAAACUUUUGUAAAAUUAUUAUACAGCCUUAAUACCAAAUAAAAAUAACAGUUUUUAAAUAUUUAAACAAGAAAACAAUAUUCAAACAGUGUGAACUGCUUAGAAAAUGGGUUUAUUGUUUGAUAAAUUAGUAAAGGACUAAAAACAAAUAUUUGACCAAAUACAAAUAAACUGACAUUCUUAGUAACAUGUUAAAGUAGGAGCCUUAGAGCAUGAUUAUCGCCGUCUUUUAAGCGUCUCUUAGUUGCUGACUAAGAUAAAAAAUAAAUGAAAAAUAAGAAUUACCUCAAAGAACGUCGCUUAAUUAAGCACAAGAACAGACGCAUCUUGUGGACACGCGUCACGUUGAUAUGGUUUUGGGAGGAGAAUACGAGGGGAAGAAAAAAUUCGACGACGAAAACUCCAGAUUUCUCCUCGAUGGAGUGGAGACAAUCUGGGUGAUCUCCUCGACAAUGAACCAAAGCGGCGGUGGCCUCCUCUCCGACGACAAAAUCAUAGGUACAGAAAACUCUUGUGUCUCGCUUCCUCUUUACGCCUCCAUAACACUCUUCUCGCUGCCACUCCUCUCAAGCCUUAACGCGUCCGUAGCAGAUGGCGAGCACUUCGUGGUCCUUAAGCUAGACCCUGAUGGCAAAAAGUUCGAUAAAGGAACAGCGAGCAGAGCUAGAAAACGAGACCUUACGUAGACAGGUACAAGAACUGAGGAGUUUUCUCCCGUCGAUCAACCAACACUAUGCUCCAUCCUACAUCAGAUGCUUCGCUAUAGAUCCCAAUACCUCACUUUUACAACACUUGCUUGGGAGACAUUAGCCACUUGUCAUGUUAUAGUAUUAGUAUAUGCAUAUGCAUUAACACUAUUAGAACUAUUAAUUUCUUACAUGUGUAAUAGUAUAUGCAUAUGCAUUUGUGUUUAAAACUGGUAUAUUCAUGCAAUUAAAAUGAAUAGUAUUUUUUUUUAAGAACCCUAA